GGCGGUGGCGGGGCGCGGGCGGCUCCCGGAGCCUGCGGUCCCUGCGGCCGGGGCGCGGCACGGGCCGUGUUUCGCCAAACCGUGAGCGGGGAACUUCGCCAGCCGCUGACACCAGCGUUUUGUACAAACCCAUCACAAAUUUAUUAGAGAAUGGUAGGGCUGGUUCGAAUUAAGGUUGAUUUACCGAUGGUUGGCGAAGGGUAGUGGUGCACAUCAAAACCGAGUGAAAUCCGGGCCCCGCGGAAGCUGGUAGGAGAACUUGAAUGGAAACCUCUCCCACCAAUUACAAUUGUAAACCAUGACAGAAGAGCGCGCUUCUAAUAACGAAUACUGAAAGAAUAUCCUUACUGGCUUUCCUUGAUGACUGCCUCCUGAGGAAGAGGAACCCUGAAAAAAGAUACCUGUUUUUCACUCUAAGUCUAGUUGUGCUUAAAUAGUCUUGCUAUAUGUAAUUAAAGACCACAGAAGAAUGAAAGCUGUUUUGUAUCCAGUCAUCCAAAAAUCCCAGGUAGAACCUUAUCUGAAAUACAUGUAUUUAACAUUUUCUGUUAUGUGUGUUCUUUCAAAUGUUGUAUUGGACAAUUUAAUGCAAAAUUCUCAAGAAAAAAGAACUGGUUUAUAGUUGUGUUUAAUAUAUGGAAUAGAAAAAAUAAUAAGGUCCAAUUAAACCAUAAUUCUCCUGGUAUCAGUCUAUGGUUACAUUGGGAGAAAAAAAGAAAGCACCAACAAAAAAAGGCAAAUUAUAAAAGUCCUUCGCUCUAUAGCCCCUACUUAAAGAAAACUCUAAUAAUAAAGAUAGUUGAAAAUAAAAGUAGGUACAGAAAAAUUAGAUGUUCUGACAGCAUCUUAUUCAGUUUUCUGGUGAAGUGGCUCUGCUUAUUUGAAUGGCAUUGCCAACAGGAAAUGUUACAAUCAUUAAGUCUUUAAGAAAUGCCAUCAAAUACAUACAGAAAAUGUCUCACCUUUAGGAUUCAUGUAUUAGAAAAUGUAACAUUUAUGAUAAUUUUUUAAUAACAAGUACAUAUUUUCUAUAAGAUAUCUUUUCUAUAAACAUUUUAUCAACUGUCACUGAAUGGCAAGAGUGAGGUCAAAAUUACGUAGUAAAAAGUAAAAAAGUCUGAAAUGAUAGAAGAUGAAAUUAUGCGUAGUUAAAUGGCAACUAUUAUUUCCUUUGAAAAGAAAAAUUGUUUUCUUCAAAGCAAGACAGAACUACUUAAGACAAAUGCAUACAAAAUCAAUGAAAAGCUGAGCUCUGAGCAGAAAGUGUAUUAUUAUUAUAAAUUUAAAGAUAAAUAGCUGUUCAGAAGUUCCUUAUACACACACACAAAUCCAAUGACCUCAUUCUGUGAUUACUAGAAGUUCAGCUACACAGUAAUGUGCUGUCUCAAAACUGUGUGAAAAUAAAUACUGUGUUUGCCUUUGUUGAAAGUAUCCCAGGUAAGUAAAUAAUGUGCCACUCUUUGCAUAUUAAAGUAAAACUCCAACUGUCUAGUCCAUAACUAACUUGUUAAUAGGGUUUUUUAGCAGGUGUAUAAGAAAAGAGAAAGGUAAAUGUGAAUGUUUUGUACUUACUGGUUUACCCUGUUUGCCUCCAGAAGGAUAUGAGCCCUGUAAGAAGUCAAUCAGACUUGUAUUAAUUGAAUGUAAAAUCUUCUAUCACUAUCUUCAGACAAUUUUUGCAGUACUUAGGACAAGCUUAUUUGGGUGUUCUUUGAACAAAAAAAAAAAAAAGCUUAAAAUUUACACUCUGUACUACACACCACAACAAUGGCAAUUUGAAUCAAGAAAGCAGUGUUAAGAAAAACAGCCUGGCAACUAGAGUAUGUUCAAAGGAAUAUUUUACACAGAGCAGUAACUCAUUGUAACCAAAUCUUUUAUUCUCCUUACUGAAGCGACUUUGAUCCAUAUUACCUGCACUGUUUAAACUUCAUAAAAUGGCCAAAUUAAUGUAUCUGUCAGCAUCAAGUAACUGACCUGAUCUACAAAGUAUGUUAGGAGUGAGUUUGAAGUGAUGGGAUGGAAAGAGAACACUCACCUGCCCACCAUAUUGGCUGCCUCUUGAGGGAUAAGAUCCCUAUUAAAAAAAAAAAAAAAUCAGGGAAAAUUAACAGCAGAUACUUUUUGUUUUUCUGUGCAUAAUGAAACAUCACAGGACUUUUGACAGGAGAUCUCAGUCAUAAUCUGGAAAGUAUAUUAAUCUAAAAAGAUGCAGUGAAAGGCUUCUGAUCUAAUACCUCUAAGUUCUUCAACAGCUGAAAGUAGUAGAUUGGGCAGUCACAAAACACCUUCUGAGACUGUUCUGUUCCAUAAAUAAAUGGAUUAAAAGUGUCUUACAUAUGUCUCUAUUCAAGAGGAAAGAACCAAUUUACUUUAUUUGUGAUUUUCUACAUCAGACAUGUUUAGAGAGCACCAUGUGUAUUAUUGUAAAAACAUUGUUAAUACUACCAAAUAGGUAGUUUGG